CAUAUACCUACAGCUGGAGCACCUCUCUAGUGUGUCUGGCAAGCUUGAUGGUUUAAUUAUUAAGCUUAUGCACCAUGCCUGAUGAUGAUAUAUAAAUACCUUUGUCAAGAACCAUUUGGGUUUCCUGAUAAGCACAUUGUACCUGAAUCUUGUGGUAUCCAUGGUAGUGUAAUUAAUGUGAUAUCCACAAAUGAAGUGAUUUCCGUCACUUAAAGUAGGUCGCUGGUGAAAUUACGGUUUCCAAUAGAGCGGAGAGAGCAACUGUUCGGAAUGCCUAGCUGAACGAAUGCAUGCUACAGGCUGCGCGACAACCUUGUCAUGAAGGGCCAACUUCUGCGGUCGUUGCGCUGACAGCCACGAAAGAAGCCGUAUCACCGUGGCUUUCGUAUGAAGAUUUGAUAUGGUAAUGUGUGUUGUCUUAUAGCAAAAUUGGUGGCUAGUACACAUUGAUUAUUACCAUUUAUUAAUUUUAUCAUGUUGAUAGAAAAAAAUAAUCAGCGGUUGUUAAAGGUCCUGCCAAGGAACAGCCAUGUAUUCUGCUUAAUAUAUAUUCAAAAAAAAAAAAAACAUGACAAUAUUUUGUAAUGUCUUGAUUGUCAUUGUUUAUUACUAAAUUAUUUAACGGCUAUGUAAGCCGGAUCUGUAAUUGAGAGCACCUACUAUGCCAAUUGUAAAUUAAUUUCUCGUAACCUUAUCAUGUUACUUGAACGACAGUUGUGUUGUACUGAUUCUAUCACCUACUGGCUUAGUUCCAAGGAAAAAUUAUCACGUUCUCGUUACAUUAAGGAACUUAGUAUUUCCCAUGUAUGUUACAGAGCUUCUUAACAAGAGCUUGUGCUGUGUUGGAAGGUGGCUAUGAUCACGCAUAGGGUGUGUCAUGUUAACCUCUCACGAGUUGUACGCCUUCUUGCGCAUGUGGGGAGCUUCACAGCCUACAGUGACGAAGCCAACUGUGAGUUUGUUCCAUGUAUUUGCUAUUUAAACGACGCCAAUCAUCAUUAUUAUAUUGAGCGGUUGGUUAGUUUGGAAUGCACCGCUCACGUAAGUCUUAACUUAAGGCAUAAAUGGCAUAAUACUUGCCUGAAAAUAAAUGAAAUGUAUUGAUGGGU
rnacentral:lncRNA from 1 species